rnacentral:lncRNA from 1 species
UGGGUCCAAUUCCCCCGCCAUCACCAUAUCCGAAUUCGCUUCCUCAUUCUGAUAAGCCUCACAUUUACAUUCUUCAUUGAUAGAACUAUUAGUUGUCAUUUUCAUUGAAUUAUUUAGGUGUCAAUUUAAUACAUAACACUUCUCUUUUACAUCAAGGGCUUUAACAACUAUUGGAUUGAAAUUUAAAAAUUUAGAAAAUGUAUAAUGACUUAUUUAGCC